CCUACGGGGCGCAGCAGUCGAGAAUCAUUCACAAUGGGGGAAACCCUGAUGGUGCGACGCCGCGUGGGGGAAUGAAGGUCUUCGGAUUGUAAAUCCCUGUCAUGUGGGAGCAAAUUAAAAAGAUAGUACCACAAGAGGAAGAGACGGCUAACUCUGUGCCAGCAGCCGCGGUAAUACAGAGGUCUCAAGCGUUGUUCGGAAUCACUGGGCGUAAAGCGUGCGUAGGCUGUUUCGUAAGUCGUGUGUGAAAGGCGCGGGCUCAACCCGCGGACGGCACAUGAUACUGCGAGACUAGAGUAAUGGAGGGGGAACCGGAAUUCUCGGUGUAGCAGUGAAAUGCGUAGAUAUCGAGAGGAACACUCGUGGCGAAGGCGGGUUCCUGGACAUUAACUGACGCUGAGGCACGAAGGCCAGGGGAGCAAACAGGAUUAGAUACCCGAGUAGUC
rnacentral:rRNA from 1 species